rnacentral:rRNA from 3 species
GGACUACAAGGGUAUCUAAUCCCGUUUGCUCCCCUGGCUUUCGCGCAUCAGCGUCAGAAAAGGUCCAGCACGCCGCUUUCGCCACCGGAGUUCCUGAUGAUAUCAACACAUUUCACCGCUCCACCAUCAGUUCCGCAUGCCCCUACCUUCCUCAAGACGACCAGUAUCAAAGGCACUUCUCCAGUUAAGCUGGAGGAUUUCACCCCUGACUUUGCCGCCCGCCUACGCGCCCUUUAAGCCCAGUGAUUCCGAACAACGUUCGCACGGUUCGUCUUACCGCGGCUGCUGGCAC